UUUCUCUCUUUCCCUCUUUCUUCCUUUCUGAAAUCAAUAAAAAUAUAUAUAUUUUAAAAUAGAUAUGAUACCAAGGAAGGCUACCUGCUAGGUUGAUCAAACAGUGCUAUUGAGUUGUCUUGAGGAUAUCAGCUUCAAUCAGGGGAAGAAAAACAAAGGUGGGAAGGGUAUGUCAAGGAGGGGGAACACCUGGGAACACAGAAUUUCAAGAGCAUGGGUUUCAAGUCCAGUGAGGUCUUCCCUUCAAAUGACAAUUUGGGCAGAGGCAGUACAACUAGCAGCAGUCUAUCAUUCUUUAUAGGAAACUGAUUUCAGAUACAUCGGUGGCAGAAGAUGAGGGGUUACAACAACAAUCACCACCUCCGGGCUUGAGGCAUCAUCCACUUAGGCCAAGAGGAUGAGAUGGCUGCGGUCUGAGUCUGCAGACCUUUCCCUCAAAGAGAGGAGCUGAAGCUCAGGUUUGCCAGAGAAGGCACCACAUCUGAUUUCUGUAAGAUUCCAUAAGAUCCAAAGAUUAAUGGGAGGAACAAGAUGCAGCCAGAAGAAUUUGAAAAGCAUGUCCUUUGGAGAGGAUUGAAAAAGAAAAAACAAAGAAGGGGAGUCAAAUCAUCUACAGACACAGCUUCCAGGCAGGGGCCCUUAUAAUUUACAGCAAACAGCUUCUGCAAACCGCAUGCCUGAAAGGAAAACAAAGCAAUUGAGGUUGGAGGAGAAAUGCCAUUUGCAAGUACAUUCUGUCCUCACUCUGCUUCUUCCCAAUUCUAACAAGACCAUCAGGUGUACUGUU